CUACGGGACGCAGCAGUGAGGAAUAUUGCACAAUGGGGGGAACCCUGAUGCAGCAACGCCGCGUGGAGGAUGACGCAUUUCGGUGUGUAAACUCCUUUUAUAUGUCAAGAAAAUGACGGUAGCAUAUGAAUAAGCACCGGCUAACUCCGUGCCAGCAGCCGCGGUAAUACGGAGGGUGCAAGCGUUACUCGGAAUCACUGGGCGUAAAGGACGCGUAGGCGGGUUGGAAAGUCAGGUGUGAAAUCCUACAGCUUAACUGUAGAACUGCACUUGAAACUUCUAAUCUAGAGUAUGGGAGGGGGAGAUGGAAUUAGUGGUGUAAGGGUAACAUCCGUAGAUAUCACUAGGAAUACCUAAAGCGAAGGCGAUCUCCUGGAACAUUACUGACGCUAAGGCGUGAAAGCGUGGGGAGCAAACAGGAUUAGAUACCCUUGUAGUC
rnacentral:rRNA from 1 species